rnacentral:rRNA from 1 species
GACGAACGCUGGCGGCGUGCUUAACACAUGCAAGUCGAACGGUAAGGCCCUUCGGGGUACACGAGUGGCGAACGGGUGAGUAACACGUGGGUGAUCUGCCCUGCACUUCGGGAUAAGCCUGGGAAACUGGGUCUAAUACCGGAUAGGACCACUGCCUGCAUGGGUGGUGGUGGAAAGCUUUUGCGGUGUGGGAUGGGCCCGCGGCCUAUCAGCUUGUUGGUGGGGUGAUGGCCUACCAAGGCGACGACGGGUAGCCGGCCUGAGAGGGUGACCGGCCACACUGGGACUGAGAUACGGCCCAGACUCCGACGGGAGGCAGCAGUGGGGAAUAUUGCACAAGGGGCGCAAGCCUGAUGCAGCGACGCCGCGUGAGGGAUGACGGCCUUCGGGUUGUAAACCUCUUUCAGCACCGACGAAGCGCAAGUGACGGUAGGUGCAGAAGAAGGACCGGCCAACUACGUGCCAGCCGCCGCAGUAA